UACGGGGGGGGGCAAGCGUUGUUCGGAAUUACUGGGCGUAAAGGGCUCGUAGGUGGCCAACUAAGUCAGACGUGAAAUCCCUCAGCUUAACUGGGGAACUGCGUCUGAUACUGGAUGGCUUGAGUUUGGGAGAGGGAUGCGGAAUUCCAGGUGUAGCGGUGAAAUGCGUAGAUAUCUGGAGGAACACCGGUGGCGAAGGCGGCAUCCUGGACCAAUACUGACACUGAGGAGCGAAGGCCAGGGGAGCAAACGGG
rnacentral:rRNA from 1 species